rnacentral:rRNA from 1 species
GCCUUACACAUGCAAGUCGAACGGUAACGCGGGGCAACCUGGCGACGAGUGGCGAACGGGUGAGUAAUGCAUCGGAACGUGCCCAGUAGUGGGGGAUAGCCCGGCGAAAGCCGGAUUAAUACCGCAUACGACCUACGGGUGAAAGCGGGGGACCGCAAGGCCUCGCGCUAUUGGAGCGGCCGAUGUCAGAUUAGGUUGUUGGUGGGGUAAAGGCCUACCAAGCCGACGAUCUGUAGCUGGUCUGAGAGGACGACCAGCCACACUGGGACUGAGACACGGCCCAGACUCCUACGGGAGGCAGCAGUGGGGAAUUUUGGACAAUGGGGGCAACCCUGAUCCAGCCAUGCCGCGUGCGGGAAGAAGGCCUUCGGGUUGUAAACCGCUUUUGUCAGGGAAGAAACGCUCUGGGCCAAUACCCUGGGGUAAUGACGGUACCUGAAGAAUAAGCACCGGCUAACUACGUGCCAGCAGCCGCGGUAAUACGUAGGGUGCAAGCGUUAAUCGGAAUUACUGGGCGUAAAGCGUGCGCAGGCGGUCCUGCAAGACAGAUGUGAAAUCCCCGGGCUUAACCUGGGAACUGCAUUUGUGACUGCAAGGCUGGAGUGCGGCAGAGGGGGAUGGAAUUCCGCGUGUAGCAGUGAAAUGCGUAGAUAUGCGGAGGAACACCGAUGGCGAAGGCAAUCCCCUGGGCCUGCACUGACGCUCAUGCACGAAAGCGUGGGGAGCAA